rnacentral:rRNA from 1 species
UCCAGACUCCUACGGGAGGCAGCAGUGGGGAAUAUUGCACAAUGGGGGAAACCCUGAUGCAGCGACGCCGCGUGAGUGAAGAAGUAUUUCGGUAUGUAAAGCUCUAUCAGCAGGGAAGAAAAUGACGGUACCUGACUAAGAAGCCCCGGCUAACUACGUGCCAGCAGCCGCGGUAAUACGUAGGGGGCAAGCGUUAUCCGGAUUUACUGGGUGUAAAGGGAGCGUAGACGGCCAGACAAGUCAGAAGUGAAAACCCGCGGCUCAACUGCGGGAGUGCUUUUGAAACUGUUUGGCUGGAGUGCAGGAGAGGUAAGUGGAAUUCCUAGUGUAGCGGUGAAAUGCGUAGAUAUUAGGAGGAACACCAGUGGCGAAGGCGGCUUACUGGACUGUAACUGACGUUGAGGCUCGAAAGCGUGGGGAGCAAACAGGAUUAGAUACCCGCGUA